rnacentral:lncRNA from 1 species
UAUGUCCUGCAAGCUUAGGGGUGCUACAAGUUGACCACUGCAGCAGUAAAGAUGACUCUGAAGAAUGGCGUGGGAUGGUUCCUUUCAAAUGCACUUGAGCAGCGGUCUCCAACCACAGGGCCACAGAGCUGGAGCUGGAUCUACCAUGAAAGACUUGUGAAUCCAGGAAGAGAGACUGACUGGGCAACAUGUUAUUCAGGUGGGAACAUCCAGUUGCGGGAAAACAAGCUUAACACGCCCACUGAUUCUACAUUAUGCUCCUACCUCCCGGCAGCCUCUCCAGGCCCAGAACUUUCUCCAGUCAGCCUCUACAGACCAAGCUCAUGACUCACAAUGGCCUAUUUAGGCCCAUACCCUACGUCACGGCAGCCUCCGCAGAUGAGCCUACUGCCUCACAACAGCCUCCACAGGCACAGCUCCAUCGUUACAAUGGCCUCUUUAGACCCAGCUCCUGCCUCCCAGCCUUCUCUCCAGGCUCUGAACUUUCUCAGGUCUCCCUCUGUUGUCCAAGGCUGGAGUGUAGUAGUGCUAUCGCAGCUGACUGC